AAGUCGUAACAAGGUCUCCGUAGGUGAACCUGCGGAGGGAUCAUUACCAGAGAUGGCGGGCCCCCGCGCCCCCGUCCCCAACCCUUUGUUGACAAAACCUCUUUGCCUCGGGGGCAGAGCGGCCGCCGCCGCCCCCGGAGGACCACCAAACUCUGUCUCUGUACGUCGGAGUCUUAAUGAAAACAAAUAAAAACUUUUAACAACGGAUCUCUUGGUUCUG
rnacentral:misc_RNA from 1 species